rnacentral:rRNA from 1 species
AGUAGGGAAUCUUCGGCAAUGGACGAAAGUCUGACCGAGCAACGCCGCGUGAGUGAAGAAGGUUUUCGGAUCGUAAAACUCUGUUGGUAGAGAAGAACGUUGGUGAGAGUGGAAAGCUCAUCAAGUGACGGUAACUACCCAGAAAGGGACGGCUAACUACGUGCCAGCAGCCGCGGUAAUACGUAGGUCCCGAGCGUUGUCCGGAUUUAUUGGGCGUAAAGCGAGCGCAGGUGGUUUAUUAAGUCUGGUGUAAAAGGCAGUGGCUCAACCAUUGUAUGCAUUGGAAACUGGUAGACUUGAGUGCAGGAGAGGAGAGUGGAAUUCCAUGUGUAGCGGUGAAAUGCGUAGAUAUAUGGAGGAACACCGGUGGCGAAAGCGGCUCUCUGGCCUGUAACUGACACUGAGGCUCGAAAGCGUGGGGAGCAAACAGGAUUAGAUACCCUGGUAGUCCACGCCGUAAACGAUGAGUGCUAGAUGUAGGGAGCUAUAAGUUCUCUGUAUCGCAGCUAACGCAAUAAGCACUCCGCCUGGGGAGUACGACCGCAAGGUUGAAACUCAAAUGA